rnacentral:rRNA from 1 species
GACGAACGCUGGCGGCGUGCUUAACACAUGCAAGUCGAACGGAAAGGCCCUGCUUUUGUGGGGUGCUCGAGUGCGAACGGGUGAGUAACACGUGAGUAACCUGCCCUUGACUUUGGGAUAACUUCAGGAAACUGGGGCUAAUACCGGAUAGGAGCUCCUGCUGCAUGGUGGGGGUUGGAAAGUUUCGGCGGUUGGGGAUGGACUCGCGGCUUAUCAGCUUGUUGGUGGGGUAGUGGCUUACCAAGGCUUUGACGGGUAGCCGGCCUGAGAGGGUGACCGGCCACAUUGGGACUGAGGUACGGCCCAGACUCCUACGGGAGGCAGCAGUGGGGAAUAUUGCACAAUGGGCGGAAGCCUGAUGCAGCAACGCCGCGUGCGGGAUGACGGCCUUCGGGUUGUAAACCGCUUUCGCCUGUGACGAAGCGUGAGUGACGGUAAUGGGUAAAGAAGCACCGGCUAACUACGUG